rnacentral:rRNA from 1 species
GUCAGGAUGAACGCUGCGGCGUGCCAUACAUGCAAGUCGAGCGAACAGACGAGGAGCUUGCUCCUCUGACGUUAGCGGCGGAACGGGUGAGUAACACGUGGAUAACCUACCUAUAAGACUGGGAGUAACUUCGGGAAACCGGAGCUAAUACCGGAUAAUAUAUUGAACCGCAUGGUUCAAUAGUGAAAGACGGUUUUGCUGUCACUUAUAGAUGGAUCCGCGCCGCAUUAGCUAGUUGGUAAGGUAACGGCUUACCAAGGCAACGAUGCGUAGCCGACCUGAGAGGGUGAUCGGCCACACUGGAACUGAGACACGGUCCAGACUCCUACGGGAGGCAGCAGUAGGGAAUCUUCCGCAAUGGGCGAAAGCCUGACGGAGCAACGCCGCGUGAGUGAUGAAGGUCUUCGGAUCGUAAAACUCUGUUAUUAGGGAAGAACAAAUGUGUAAGUAACUAUGCACGUCUUGACGGUACCUAAUCAGAAAGCCGCGGCUAACUACGUG